UGGGAUGCCACUGAUGCUUUCCUGUGGCCUUGAGGGAUCUGAGUGAUGAAAGCAGGGUGAGCCACGCCCCCGACUAUGACCGGACCCAUUCUCUGUCCUGCUCCAGUCACACCCACCGCCGCGCCCAUGGCUGAAACCACAUGCCUGGACAUUCCUCCUCACCGCUGCUUUCAGUCAAGUGGCUGCCACACCAAGUUCCGGAGAAAUGAGUCACGGGAGACUAAUUCUGGGGGAAAUCUUGUGCCAGCUUUAUUUGGAUGUUGCAAAGACCAAUAUGUUGAGAGGCCAACAGCAGUGUACCUGAACACUAAAGCUUUCAAAAUUGCAUUCGCAACUUUCCACUUUCUAGGCUCUGCACUCCCCUCUGCGCCCUCCUCUGGGACCAGCUCCCUGCUCUCUUUGAGUGGAAGACAGAUCAGCCAUGAGUACCUGGCACUGUUUUAUAGCUCAGUGUGGCAUUUGGUAAGGCACCUAAAGGACCUCUGGCCUUCCAGAUGCAUCUGAGCAGCCUAAUAAAACUUAAUUGCCCAUUCUGUCCCUUUGUACCUUGGAUCCUCACCAGACCCAGCAUACCAGAGCCAGCUCAGCCCUGAGAACCGUGCCAUGCCCCUUGGAAGCCCUCAAUAGGAUUUGAACUGGCUGGCCAGCUCCUCCCUCUAGAACAUGAGCUCUUCAAGGUCACAGACUGUGUCAGCUUAAGUCCUUAUUUACAAGACAGAAAUUGUUAGCAUGCGAAUGUUCUUAUGUCUUCUACCUUAGCCCACCGGAACAACCUUGUAGUUGACAACACAUCUCCUCCCUCUCGCUGAAGAGGAGGGAUCCUUUCAGGUUGGUGAGAGACUAGGUUAUUUGUAUCAUAAACUGAGAAAGGAGUGGAAAGGAAAGUCUAUAAUUGAGUGAUUCUCCAACCAUCUGCACCGGAACCACCUGGGGAUCUUGUGAAAAUGCAGAUCGUGAUUCAGUGGGUCUGAGCCAGAACCUGAGACUCUGCAUUUCUUAUGAGCUCCCAGGUGAUGCAGGUUCAUUCACAACAAGGGUGUAAAGGACUGGAUAGCAAGGAGGUUUGCACAGAACUGGAGACAGAAAUUCUGUGGAGCAGCGUCAGCAUGUGAGAGAAAUGGACAGAAGAGGAAGGGUUUUUGUUUUUUUUAAACACUGUCACAGCCUCUGUACUGGGCUCUCAUCGUUCUCAAGAAAUGCAAGUCCAUUCCUGGUUUGUCAGCUGCCCAUAUUCCUCAGCUAGUAGCUCUCCCAUGUCCUCUGAUGGAAUAAUGAGCCAGGCACUGCCCAUCCCCAGCACAUGACUGCCAGAGAGGCCAAUGCGAGCGCCUGCUCUGAAAUCUGAAUCAUGGAUUCAGGCCCAAAACACACACAGUUGGAGUGUUCUCAUUCCAGCCAAGGCAGCUGAGUGAGAUUUUUGAGCAUUUUCUGCUGCCAAGAGCCUUCUGGAGAUGCCGGGUGCCUGAUAGCUGCACAUGAGUCUUUAUCCCUCCAUUGUUCUAGCGUACUCUCUAGUAUCCUUCCAAGAAAUUCUUUUUUUGUCUAGAUCCGCCAGAGUCCAUUUCUGUUGCUUGCAAUCAAAGCACCCUAAGAGAUAUGCUAUUUAAUCAGUAGAUCGUUUUGAGCUAUUGUUUUGAAAUUAGAUUUCAUUUCCUAAUUCUGUGUGUGUUUUAAUUAGAAGACCACUUCACCACUUAGGCUGAACCCAUGGGUGCUGCCUUUACGCUGCUUACAUUUGGAGACCAGGCUUAGCACUGUGCCUGAGAGAAAUGCAGUAGAUGCUCAAUGAAUGCCCAUGGAAAGAAUGAGCAGUCACUUUACAGCAUCUGCACUGAACCCUGGCAUCUGUCAGCUGCUCCUCUGCCUGGGGACUGUUAGAUGGCCAUCAGGCACUAAAAUAGCAACAGCUUAUAGGAAAGUGUGUUCAAUCUUGCACCAGCACCAGCUAUUAAACUUCUGACCUUUCACUUGAA